rnacentral:rRNA from 1 species
UCAGGUGGUUAUAACGUUGGGGAUCCACCUCUUCCCAUUCCGAACAGAGAAGUUAAGCCCAACGGUGCCGAUGCUACUGCGUCACAGUGGGAGAGUAGGACGCCGCCGUUU